rnacentral:lncRNA from 1 species
AUCAUUGCAAGCAAGAGUAAGAUUCCUCAGUCCUGGGAAAGAGUGUUAACAUCUAUCCCUCCAAAUGGCUAUUCUAAUGUGAUGCUGGGGCUGAAUUUACCUAGGACUCCAUUUCAAGGUUGACUUGAAAGUCUUGUGGAAGUUCUGGAAGAAAUACGGUUUUAAUACCUAUAAAUAUGAUGAUGUUGAAGAUCAUGGAUCAAAGCCUUCAAGAUUUAAAGUUUUCAGCCAGAAAGACUUGAGGUGUUUUUUUUUUUUUUGCUAUUUUUUUUUUUUUAGUAUUAAAUGGCUUAUCUUUUUGGAUUGUCUCUUAUAAAACCUGAAAAGCAC